UUAAUCCCAACAUGCCAUUUUAUUCCUCAUUUGGAACGAACACGGAAAAACAAAAUGAACCCUAAAGUUUUGCCCCAAUAUGACUAAAACACAGCUGUUUCAGCCAUUUUGGGUAAGGCUCAAAGGGCUAUUUACUUUUCCAGUUGUUGCUUGUACAUUUCAAGCAAAGCAUUCAAUGCCCUUGGCAUUGAAUACAUUGAAUCCCUUUCUCAAACGAAAAAAAACCUAGCAUUUAGGGUUCUAAUAGAACCCCAUAUCCCCAACUUGAGCAUGGUUUUUGGACGCGACAAAAUAGGUUUUUACACAACCACAUUGGGUUUUUACACCCACAAGAGAUUGAACCCCUCAGAAACUCGGUAAAGCCUUGAGUCUCGAGAAUGGGUUCUCGCUCAGGUUAAAUUUUUGGUCGUUUCCGUUCGUCGGAAGCCAGUUUGGGUGAAAGGAUGUUAGUCGACUCUCAUCGCUCCCAUCGCUGCUCGGCAAAAAGGUAAUCUUCCUUCCUUGCUUCAUUUUAUUUUCAUUUCUAGUUUUUCUUGUUUAAAUUCUAUUAUUAGAUUAGUUUAGUUUAAAUUUGUAGGAUAUGUUACUGAUCUUGUAGUGUAAUUUUUCCUGCUUUAUUUUCAUGUAAGUUUGGUCUUAUUUUUUUUUUCCUGUUUUGAUGCUUUCGUUUAGCUUCCAGUUCUGUUUAAGUUUAUUAGAUAUUUAGGUGUUUGUAUGCUUUUAUCCAUUUCCAGUCCUUUCUUUCUUUUCCCUGUUUUAUUUCGUCUGCAUUGGAUUAGUUAGCAGUAAUUAGCUAUGCAGUUAUUUGGUAAUUGUUCUUGUUAGUGUGUCGCUACUGUUAGCAAUAUCAUACUGUCAAUUUGUUGCCAUGGUUAGCUUUGUCUCUAUAUUGAUUGGUUGGCUGCUAGGAUGUUGUAAUUAAUUUGUUUAGUCUAUCAAACUAGCUAGCAUACCUGUUUGCAAAUACUAUUCUGUUUCAGUUUGAUUAACAUGGUCUUUAUGUGUUCUGAGACCUGCCAGGUAUAUUCAUGUAGUAGCACUAAGGAAUAAAGUUCAUUAAUAAUGGUUUAAUUUAAUUAAUCAGGAUAUGAUAUGUUUGGGGGAUUAACUUAGUACCAAUCUAAUAACAACUUAGAUUCAUGAUGAGUUUAAUUAGUUAACUUUCUAUUAAGUUUCUCCAUAAUGAGUUUAGCCUUGGCUAAGCGACUUAAAUAGUUAAUCAUCCUUCAAACAAGAUAGGAGCUAAAUGUGAUUAGUUUUUCCUGAACUCUUAAAACAAGCCUACUUUCAAUGCUGUAUGGAGAUUGUUAGUUUACAGGCUUCAUAAUUUCCUUGAUUCCUUAUUGUCUCCCUAUUCUAGUUUCAAUAAUUGAGAUUGUUUUGAAGUUGGUUUGAGUUGAGUUUAGCUCCAAAUCACCUCGGGAUACUCCAAACUAGGCAGGCUGUCCAGUUUUGAGUUUCUUCCUAGACUAUUAUGUUUGUCUAUUUGAGUAUAUUUCAUGUCUGAUUGUUAUGAGAUUUUUAAGGGUUGCAUGCCAAACAUAGAAUUGUAAAAAUUAAACUGAGGGGAAUAGGUCAUAACACAUCAUGAAUUCCUUAAUAUAAACAUGCAGAACCCUCAUUACUGCCUUCAGCACAUAUCCUACCUAUUCUUUUCCUCUCCCUCUCCAAUGUUGUUCUAUUUCUGUGUUAUUCACUUUAGCACUCUAAUUUGUUUGGUUGUUUACUAUUUGUUUAUACUCAGUAAUGAGUGGUUAGGUUUCUUGUGAUUUCCAGUCUUUUCUUCCUUACUGUUCUGUUUUUGAGAAAAAGGCAAAUGAUGAUUUAUCAUAAUUCUUUAAAGUUAUUUUUCUCAUCCAAGUGUUAGUUUUCUUAAGAAUUAUGGGCUGGUUAUGUUUAGGAAAAGUUGGCCAUUUCCUGUCUAUAGCAUAGUCCAUGCUAUGUUAAGAUGAUUGGAAAUGAAUUAUGUAAAGGACUGAAAAUGUGAUUGGAUUUCAAAGCAAAUAUGGACAGCAUGCUUACAGGAUGAUUAUUAGCUGUGUUUGGGCUGUUGUAGCUCUGGUAGCCAAUAUGUGCUAAGUAUUGACUGAAUGUUAACUCUCAAGCCUUUGCUAACCAUUUUAACUGCCAAGAGCAGCUGCUAUUUCAUGAAUUGUAUCCAGUUCUCUCCUUUCUUUUAUAUGUUUACUAGUGAAUAUAACUUUGUUGUAUUUAUCAGGUUCGGUUUGGGCCUUCAGUGUAAAUUUGAUUAAUUGUCAAUAAGUUUAUGAGUCUACUUAGUUUCAGAAGCAAGGUGUUACUGUGUGUUAUUUAAAUGUUGAUUAAGUGCUAUUUGAAUGUUGACUGAAGAAGUGUUGUCAAAAAAUCAGUUUUCUUUGUUUGAAGAUCUCAGUAACUUUCUUUUCUGAUUUGACUAAGAAAAAUCAUCCGUCAAAGAGAUGUACUUCUUAAUACACAUUCUUUAUCUCCUAUUUCUUUGCAUGACCUGAGGGGAAAUCUCAAACCUCAAAUGAUCUUGUAUACUCUUGAGGCAACUGCUGCUUCCGUGUUCUUUGAGAAACAGAUGAGGCAAAUAAAUGGUGGUUCCUGAAUCAAUUGGCUGCUUCAAAUUUUUAGCCAAUCUAGUGCUAUCUUGGCUGGGCAGCUGCCUUAUUGUUAGAAAGGAAGAGAUACCACACUUGAGUUGCUGUUUUAGAACAACUGCCAUAUUUGUUAAAAAAAAAAAAAAAAAAAAAAACUGAUACUAUGCUUGGGAAGGCUACUGCAAUGUUAUUUUGAUCACUUGUUGCUGUCUUUAUGAACUGCUGCCUCUAGAAAUAUGAGCUGUUGCUGAUUUGAUAAAAAUUGUUGUUGCAUUCUCUAAAGGGUGCUCCUAGUUGCAACACCUAGACGAAUGGCUUGUCGCAUCUUUAUCCCAUUGUGAGUGCUUUCCUAAGGCUGUUGCUGCAUUUUGGUUCUCAUGAAAAUGGUUGUUGAUAUGUUUACGACAUAGCCGCUCCCCAUUAAAAGAAACAAAUACUACACUUGGUAGGUUUGUUGCUGUGGCAUUCUUUAAGCAGAGCUUGCGGCAUUUUUGGGCAAAGUAGCUACUGUUUUGCUAAAGAAUAGUUACUACAUUUGACAUGGUUCGAGUGACCCUUCAAAUUGUUGUUUUGUUGCUGUGUUCCGAGCCAUCUCUGUGGCAUUUCGGGUAAAUUUGCGACCUGAUAUUUGAUGAAAGUAUUUGCUGUCUUUAGGAAGCUUUGAUGCUAUCCUUGCUGCCACUUGUGGCUGCCUACGAUUGCUAUUUGUUGCUCUUAAAUGUUGCGGAAUGGUUGUUGCUUUAUUUUGAAAGAACAGAUUACUAUACUCGGUUAGGAAUCAACUGAUCUGAACAUGAUACUACACUUUAGGCCAAUGAAAAAAUGAUUUUUUGAGGCCAUGCCUAGUCCGGAAAGGUUAUCCCUCGGUUUAUGCAAUGUUGAUCUCACAUUGAUAUCACGAGGUAGGAACCAGCAUGCGUUUGGCAAGGCAACUAGAAUGGCCACUAGUUUGCAUCCACGACAUGAUUCGAGUUCCUUUGCCAUAUUCGGAACCGUGAGUCUGAGCCUCUGUAAUCAAAGCCCUCUAAGUUUGAUACGAGUCCGAGGGAUAUUAUUAUUUAUGUUCAUAAACGUCAUCCUAUGGGUUGGCGUAUCAUUUUGACGUACUACUUUCCUUUUCAUUAUGCGAGGUACCGAUAAAACAAGCACGGAAAGCAAAGCAUAAGGAUGAAGUAAAAGGAUCGGAUGCUUAGAGCUUCGGACGAACACUAGAAUAGUACGGGAUUAGGGCCCAAGGCCGACAAAGCUAAAAUUUCUUCCCUUCUUUAUUUUUGUAUAAAACAUGCUUAUUUUAUAUGUUUACAUUCACUUUGUGUGAACAUGCUUUUUGUUGUAAAAUUUGUAUAGAUAUUGAAACCCUUAUAAGUUGGAACCUAGGAUUCAGGUA